UACGUAGGGACCAAGCGUUGUUCGGAAUUAUUGGGCGUAAAGAGCUCGUAGGCGGUUUGUUGCGUCGGCUGUGAAAUCCCGAGGCUCAACCUCGGGUCUGCAGUCGAUACGAGCAAACUAGAGUGUUGCAGGGGAGACUGGAAUUCCUGGUGUAGCGGUGAAAUGCGCAGAUAUCAGGAGGAACACCGGUGGCGAAGGCGGGUCUCUGGGCAACAACUGGCGCUGAGGAGCGAAAGCGUGGGGAGCGAACAGG
rnacentral:rRNA from 1 species